rnacentral:rRNA from 1 species
UACGUAGGUGGCAAGCGUUGUUCGGAAUAACUGGGCGUAAAGGAUGCGUAGGCGGUUAAACAAGUUAUAUGUUAAAUAUAUAGGCUUAACCUGUAGAAAGCAUAUAAAACCGUUUAACUAGAGUGCAGGAGAGGUAAGUGGAAUUCCUAGUGUAGCGGUGAAAUGCGUAGAGAUUAGGAAGAACACCAGUGGCGAAGGCGACUUACUGGACUGUAACUGACGCUGAGGCAUGAGAGCAUGGGGAGCAAACAGG